AAUUGAAAAGGCAAACCUAUCGAAAGGUAGGGACGCAAAGCUAUAGGGCCUUCGAAAGAGUGGCAGCCUGGCUACCGAAA
rfam:Paenibacillus sp. FSL H7-0737, complete genome.